GACGAACGCUGGCGGCGUGCCUAAUACAUGCAAGUCGAACGCUGAAGGAGGAGCUUGCUUCUCUGGAUGAGUUGCGAACGGGUGAGUAACGCGUAGGUAACCUGCCUGUUAGCGUGGGAUAACUAUUGGAAACGAUAGCUAAUACCGCAUAACAGUAGAUAUCGCAUGAUAUCUACUUGAAAGUUUCAAUGGCAGCACUACCAGAUGGACCUGCGUUGUAUUAGCUAGUUGGUGAGGUAACGGCUCACCAAGGCGACGAUACAUAGCCGACCUGAGAGGGGGAUCGGCCAGCCUGGGAGUGAGACACGGCCCAGACUCCUACGGGAGGCAGCCGUAGGGAAUCUUCGGCAAUGGACGGAAGUCUGACCGAGCAACGCCGCGGGAGUGAAGAAGGAUUUCGGAUCGUAAAGCUCUGUUGUAAGGGAAGAACGAGUGUGAGAGUGGAAAGUUCACACUGUGACGGUAACUUAUAAGAAAGCAACGGCUAACUACGUG
rnacentral:rRNA from 1 species